CAGACACCCAGACAUAUAUAUACACACACACACACACAGACACACACUGUAUCAGCUGGGGUAGGGGCUUCAACACUGACUAUAAAAUGUAUAUGCACAGAUUGGUCAGAUUAUCUCAAAUCUAAUAAUUAAGUAAAAAGCACCUUAAACUUGUAUGCCUGUCUCACUGUGAUCAGACACAGAUGACUCUAGUCUAGGAGAAGGUGAUGCACAUCUACUGGAUACUCCAACAUUUCACCUGGGCCUAUUCAAGCAAUGUCAGAAAGGUCAGUGUCCAUUUGUGUAAAUUAUAUACACUGUCCAGUGUACACUGUCCUCCUUAUGUAACAGACAUAGAAGAUUGCUGGGUUUUAGUCAGUGGUCUUGCAGAAGGACAAAAUGGUUGAAUUUUGUUAAUGUCACAGGUAAUAUUCGGAAGUUUUCUGUAU